UACGGAGGGUGCGAGCGUUGUCCGGAAUCAUUGGGCGUAAAGGGCGCGUAGGUGGCCCGGUCAGUCCGUGGUGAAAGCGCGGGGCUCAACCCCGCGUCGGCCAUGGAUACUGCUGGGCUGGAGCACUGUAGAGGCAGGCGGAAUUCCGGGUGUAGCGGUGGAAUGCGUAGAGAUCCGGAAGAACACCGAUGGCGAAGGCGAGCUCGCUGGACGUACGUGACGCUGAGACGCGAAAGCGUGGGGAGCAAACAGGGAU
rnacentral:rRNA from 1 species